GUGAAAAGCAAAUGAGGUUUUUGAGUUUUUCCUAACACUUCUCACUGCAGGUUGGAAGCAGCACAAAGUGUUCCGAUCAAGGAGCAACAACAUGCUGGACCCCAGAGCCCCCCGACAGCCUGAGGGGGUGCCCAGUCCUCCUCCGUCUCCUUCACCAAGCCUGUGGCCCCUCGGCCACGACUGCAGCACGCUUCACAUCUCCCAGCUCCGGGCUCCUUUCAAAGGCCCUUUAUUAAACCACCAACUAUUUGCUGUCGAGACAUUUAGGAUGAAAUCAUUGUGUUAAAUAAAUAAACGUAGCUUCGUCCAGAUUUCUGCUCUGGGAGCAGAGUAAGAAAAUAAUUUCUGUCUGCUCGCCACAAAAGCGGCUGGAAAGGCCCAAAGAAAAAUAUUAUUUUUACUCCAUUGUGUGAAAUAUUGUCCUGGAGGAUCUGACGCACUGAGCGUUUGAAGAGUUUGUCCUGGCAGGUUUCAAGGGUCCCCUGGGCCGGCCCCCUGGGGUUGUUUUCUGCAUUAAUAAACUUAGCAUGGUGUGUGUUAAAA